rnacentral:rRNA from 1 species
UUGACCUCGGAUCAGGUAGRGAUACCCGCUGAACUUAAGCAUAUCAAUAACCGGAGGAA